rnacentral:ncRNA from 1 species
UGUCUUCGGGGCGAGGUGAAAUUCCUCACCGGCGGUAAGGUUUUGUUGUAUAUUCGUUGAUGAAUAAAGCCGUAGCCCGCGAACUGUGAUAUGUCACAGCCGAUUUGGUGAAAAUCCAAAGCCGACGGUAUAGUCCGGAUGAAAGAAGAU